CAGUCGCCGCGGUAAUACGGAGGGGACUAGCGUUGUUCGGAAUUACUGGGCGUAAAGCGUACGUAGGCGGUUUUGUAAGUUAGAGGUGAAAGCCCGGAGCUCAACUCCGGAAUUGCCUUUAAGACUGCAUCGCUUGAACGUCGGAGAGGUGAGUGGAAUUCCGAGUGUAGAGGUGAAAUUCGUAGAUAUUCGGAAGAACACCAGUGGCGAAGGCGGCUCACUGGACGACUGUUGACGCUGAGGUACGAAAGCGUGGGGAGCAAACAGGAUUAGAUACCCCUGUAGUCCCUGUCUCUUAUAC
rnacentral:rRNA from 1 species